GGGUGUCCGCCAUGUUUGGGGCGGGUGAAAAGGGAAGCCGGUGCGAGUCCGGCGCGAUACCGUCACUGUGUACGGGAGCUGUCCUCCAAACCUCACUGACCGAAAGGUUGGGAAGAGGGAGGGCGGCGAUGAACGAAGCCAGGAGACCUGCCCAGAC
rnacentral:ncRNA from 1 species